AGCCUCCCAAAGCUUACCACAGGUUGUGUUCUUUACACUGACUAUAUAGAAAGAGGAGAUAUAGUAAAUGUUCCCCAUAUACACCUCAAACCAGGUCCUUUUCCUGGUCUGUAUUGUGAAUGGGGGUACAAAA